AUAAAUACGGCCAUUAAACUUGCACCGUUUUGUUUUCGGUGGACCACCCUGUAUAUCCGAGAACAAAUUAUUUUCCAAGGUCAUGUCAAAUUUCCUUGAAUAUUUUUACGUUUCGUUAAUGCGAAAAUUACAUCCGCAAAGUUGUUUAAACAAAAUUUAGUUGAAAUAUUUGUUUGCGAUGCCUAUUAUCGUAGAACGGCGACCCAUGGAGAUUGAGAGCUAAUUUGUAAAGGUUGAAUUGUAAAGUGUGUUGAAUAAUCAAUUAUAGUAAUUGUUUUUUCAAUAAUUUUAUUUCAUUCUGUUCUAAAGUAUGUGUACCGUGAUUUUAGCACUAAAGCUUUUCUAUCUGAUCGAUUAUUAAUUUGGAAAUAAGAAAAUGCUGAACACUUGGGACUUUAUAAGCAAAUUACUUCCAAUAUCUCAGUACUUGAAAGAUUAUAAUUUAAACAACGCGCUCUGUGAUUUGUUAGCUGGAAUUACAGUUGGACUGACGCUAAUUCCGCAAGUAAUUGCCUACGCUUCAUUAGCCGGUUUGGAGCCGCAGAUUGGCCUAUAUUCAGCAUUAUGUGGUGGAUUUAUUUAUGCGAUUUUUGGCACAAUUCCUGAACUCAAUAUUGCACCCACCGCUCUUCUAUCAUUGCUCACUUUUCAGUAUGUUCAUAAUGUAACAUUUGGAAACACCAGAGCAGCCAUUAUGCUCACCUUUUUUGCUGGAGUGGUAGAACUAAUAUGUGGCAUUUUGCAUUUGGGUAAGUUUCAAAACUUUCAUUUGAAUCAUUUAAUGAAACCCAUACAUUUAUUUAACAAAUAAUUAUAGGUAAUAUAAUUAAUUUAAUUUUGUGUUUCCUUCAGUACGCAGGUUAGAAUUUUUAGUUAGUUAUCGGCCAUAAAAAUGUAGAAUAAUUUAAACUAGAAAAUUGAUCCAUUAUCAAAUGAUUUUGACGAUAUUUUGAAGUUAUUUAUCAUAUCAAUAUUUCUAAAUUAGUUACCUUUUGGACUUACUACUGCUACUUAGCUGCUACUCCUUGCUUUACAAAUUACGAGUACACUAAUAUGCGACAGAACUGUAGGUUUAUUAUAUUGAUUUGCCACUUAACAUGAUUACAACCAAGGAAAACGACGGGGGUGGGGAAAAACCACACAUGUCCCAUUUUUCUCAAUAUUGAACUUAUCAGGCCAACUAAUAUACCAAAACUUUAUGAUCGGAAUAUGAAAAACCUGGACAAACAACCAUGCUUGUUCCCAAUGAUUACUAGGGCAAGAUUUGUCUUACUGGGGAAAAACAAUUUGUGUGCGAGCGGAAUGGUUAAGGUUGGAAAGAAGUAUGGAUGGU